rnacentral:lncRNA from 1 species
UGGUCACGAAUAUCACGAUUUGUCGGAUUUGCCUAUUACUCCAGCGUGGUUUAUUCUCGGACGAUCCGUCGGAACGGAGGACAUAAACCAUCAAAUCGCAUCUGACAUCAAACUGGAAGUGAUUUGUCCACUGAAAGGAACUAGAAUGAAAGGCGACAAAAGAGCGAAUAAUAACUUGAUGAACGCGAUCCAAGCGACGUCCAAUAGAUGAAGGGAUUCCAAUCCAAUUCAAUUUUAUUUUCUGCAAUUCUUCAGCAUCGCCGGGAUGAUUGUGACAUGUAAUACCACUGACGGUGCCAUCUGCAUCGCCCUGCUUUCAAUAAAGCGAUAUUGCUUCGGAGUUCGGACCUAGAUUGUAUUUGUGAACAGCUCACGACAUUAAAAGGUAAAUUUGAAGGAACUUACGUGGUGCGGCCGAGACCAAAGAAGCGAUGCACGCCACCAAGACGAAGAAGAAUAGUGAUCUAAUAGCCAGCAUUUUAAGUAAGAUUCUAUUCGCUGAUUUUCUCGCUGUUGUGUUCCGUUAAUCGACUGGUGUGGAAAUGAGACGAAUGCCGGUGGUUUAUAAGGCCGCUCGAUUCGUUGAUCUCUGCUGCUGUUGCUUUGAUCGACGCUUGCCGACAGCUCACCAAUAAGGAGAAGAAGAGAAAGUGACGACGGCGAAUAAGAGAAGAAAAACGACAGCGGAUAAAGUCUGGAGGAAAAGGAACGACCUUGAUCACGCUGACGUCAUGCGGACAAACUCAAUUUCAUAAAUGGAAUUUUUGAAUGCAUAUCUGCAGGCUCCUGAACAAUCCUACCUUAAUGUAAGCGAGCUUAGUUCAGUAAAGUAGUAACCUAUAUAUUGUCGAACGGUCUGAUCAUUCCGGUUUACGAAAUAAUUAAGAGACCCACGAAACUUUAUUUUUCUGUGUUAACUCGUCAUAUUUCUGAUCGAACUAUAGACCGCAACGAAAACG